rnacentral:tRNA from 1 species
AUUUAAAUAGCUUAAUAAGAGCGUAAUAUUGAAGAUAUUAAGGUAAUGUUAAAUUUUUAAAUA